GAAGCUGGAAUUGCUAGUAAUGGCAGGUCAGCAUACUGCCGUGAAUACGUUCCCGGGCCUUGUACACACCGCCCGUCACACCAUGAGAGUUGGAGAUACCCGAAGCCUAUGAGCUAACUUUUAGAGGCAGUAGUCGAAGGUAGAAUCAAUGAUUGGGGUGAAGUCGUAACAAGGUAUC
rnacentral:rRNA from 1 species